UCUUAUGGCGGGCGUAUGGGCAGUCGAAAGACUGGCCGGUUCCUUUGUCCCGGUACUGUGAACCUGUGCGCCCGCCACCCUA
rnacentral:antisense_RNA from 1 species